GAUCCUGGCUCAGGACGAACGCUGGCGGCGCGCCUAACACAUGCAAGUCGAACGGGGUUAUACGGGAUGAAGUUUUCGGAUGGAAUUCUAUAUAACCUAGUGGCGGACGGGUGAGUAACACGUGAGCAACCUGCCUAUCAGAGGGGGGAGUAACGAUUGGAAACGAUCGCUAAUACCGCAUGACAUAGCGAAGAGGCAUCUUUUUGUCUAUCAAAGAUUUAUCGCUGAUAGAUGGGCUCGCG
rnacentral:rRNA from 1 species